UGCAGGGUGGAGCAGUUUGGUAGCUCGUCAGGCUCAUAACCUGAAGGUCGCAGGUUCAAAUCCUGCCCCUGCACCCA
rnacentral:tRNA from 2 species